UCUGAAUCUGCGUACGGCUCCGCAAACCAGUUGUAAACUAUAGCAAGCAGGCUCGGGGUCGGCUCUCACGGGCUGGCUUCGGGCGAUAUGGAUAACCCUGGUAAUUCUGAGGCUAAUACAUGAACGUAAAACCUGGUUGACUGGGCUUCGGUCUGGGAGGCUGGGGGAUGUGUGAUUGCAGGCUUGGGUAACACCGGGAAAGGGCGCACGUCCAGACCGCGCUAUAAAGGAUGGGACCUCUUCGGGGGACCCGCCCCAGCGGCUCUUGCUGUGUGCUUCUGACCUAUCAACUAGACGGCAGCGUAAGGGACAUGCUU
rnacentral:rRNA from 1 species